GCAUCGACCAGAGGGAAAAGGAGCAAUCCGCUUUGAGAUGGCCUCGCGUCCGAUUAGCUAGUUGGUGAGGUAACGGCCCACCAAGGCGACGAUCGGUAGCCGGACUGAGAGGUUGAACGGCCACAUUGGGACUGAGACACGGCCCAGACUCCUACGGGAGGCAGCAGUGGGGAAUAUUGCACAAUGGGGGAAACCCUGAUGCAGCGACGCCGCGUGGAGGAAGAAGGUCUUCGGAUUGUAAACUCCUGUUGUUGAGGAAGAUAAUGACGGUACUCAACAAGGAAGUGACGGCUAACUACGUGCCAGCAGCCGCGGUAAAACGUAGGUCACAAGCGUUGUCCGGAAUUACUGGGUGUAAAGGGAGCGCAGGCGGGAAGACAAGUUGGAAGUGAAAUCUAUGGGCUCAACCCAUAAACUGCUUUCAAAACUGUUUUUCUUGAGUAGUGCAGAGGUAGGCGGAAUUCCCGGUGUAGCGGUGGAAUGCGUAGAUAUCGGGAGGAACACCAGUGGCGAAGGCGGCCUACUGGGCACCAACUGACGCUGAGGCUCGAAAGUGUGGGUAGCAAACAGGAUUAGAUACCCUGGUAGUCCACACCGUAAACGAUGAUUACUAGGUGUUGGAGGAUUGACCCCUUCAGUGCCG
rnacentral:rRNA from 1 species